rnacentral:rRNA from 1 species
AGUGAACGCUGGCGGCAGGCCUAACACAUGCAAGUCGAACGGCAGCACAAGAGCGCUUGCUCUCUGGGUGGCGAGUGGCGGACGGGUGAGGAAUGCAUCGGAAUCUGCCCAUUUGUGGGGGAUAACCUCGGGAAACCGGGACUAAUACCGCAUACGACCUACGGGUGAAAGCAGGGGAUCUUCGGACCUUGCGCAGAUGGAUGAGCCGAUGCCGGAUUAGCUAGUUGGAGGGGUAAAGGCCCACCAAGGCGACGAUCCGUAGCUGGUCUGAGAGGAUGAUCAGCCACACUGGGACUGAGACACGGCCCAGACUCCUACGGGAGGCAGCAGUGGGGAAUAUUGGACAAAGGGCGCAAGCCUGAUCCAGCCAUGCCGCGUGUGUGAAGAAGGCCUUCGGGUUGUAAAGCACUUUUGUUGGGAAAGAAAAGCAGCCGGUUAAUACCCGGUUGUCAUGACGGUACCCAAAGAAUAAGCACCGGCUAACUUCGUG